rnacentral:rRNA from 1 species
UACAGAGGGUGCGAGCGUUGUCCGGAAUUAUUGGGCGUAAAGAGCUCGUAGGCGGCUUGUCGCGUCGUCCGUGAAAACCCGGGGCUCAACCCCGGGCUUGCGGUCGAUACGGGCAGGCUCGAGUUCGGUAGGGGAGACUGGAAUUCCCGGUGUAGAGGUGAAAUUCGUAGAUAUCGGGAGGAACACCAGUGGCGAAGGCGACUUUCUGGCCUGUUCUUGACGCUGAGGCGCGAAAGCUAGGGGAGCAAACGGG